CUGUACAGCCUGCUACUGUACUGGAUACUGUAGGCAGCUGUAGCACAAUGCGUCCUUUUCUCGCGCCUCUUCUUCAGCUACGUGUUCCUGUUCCAGUUUCAACAAUUCCUCAUUGGUCAGUUCCUCAGGAGCCACCUCCAGGAACUCCUCAGUGUCGUCCUCAUCCACACCCAGGUCAAUCACUCAACAUGGCCUCUUACUGGCAACAUAGCAGAUUUUGUAUGCUUAGGGACCAUGAUGAACAAAACAACAUGAGAUUAAAUCAAGCACAAGAGAAAUGAUGCACUCAAGAGCUGCAGUAAACACGAGAUGUAUCAGGCUGCUGCUGGCAUAAUACAGCAUACUAUUUUACAAUCAUUGAAAGCAGAAAGAACUCAUUACCAACAGACCCACACCACAAGAAACGCUAAAGAAGACUGUUGAGGCAGAAGGGAAGUGAUACCACAUGGAAAUCUGGAUCUACAGGAAGGAAUGAAGAGCACUGAAAACCCUAAGUAUAUGAGUACAGUAUUCUUUCUUAGAGUCUUUAAAAGAAAACCUGACUGCAGAAAAGCUAUAAUAAUGUAUUGUGGGAUUUACAAAAUAUGUAUAAUUAAAUACAUGGCAGCAAUAGAACAAAGGACAAAUGGAUUACACAUUUUGUAAGAUUCUUACAUUAAACAGAGCAUGCUAUAAUAUCAAUUUCAGGUGAUUAAGUUAAGGAUGCAUAUUAUACUCCCUAAACAAAAGACUUUAAAAAGUGAAGAUGUAUAGCCAUAAAGUGAGUCAAGAAGAUAGAUUAAAAUAUUUUUAAGAUACUUUCCUAGCUCAAAAGGAGGUGGUAAAGAAGAAAGACAGGGGAAAAAACAGAGAUAAAAUAUUUAAAAAUAAAUCUCAGAAGAUGACUCUCUG
rnacentral:lncRNA from 1 species